GGCCGGCUCCCGGCGGGCCCCUGGCGGAGCUGGGAGCACGAGACUCGGCGGGCGGGGUGAAGCCAACCUGCUCCCACCAGAGCCCAGCAAUGGCCAGUAAGAGAACAGUGAUGGGUUUAAGGAAGAGGACACAGGAAGCAGAAGAGAAGAGGGAAAAUUCAGUUUCAUCUGCCAAGAUUGACCUGUACAUUCCAGAAUUGCUUCUUGGCUCCUGGAAUGUCGUGUGCAGGAAGAGAACAGACACAGCAAAGCCAUGGAGUCAGCCCAGCUGAGGGAAGAUAGGUUUCCAGCGACUGGGUCAUCUGGCCCUGGGAAGCUCGACCCGGGGAAUAGAGGUCUCCAGUGACCGGGGCAUCUCGCCCUGGGAAGCGUGACCCGGGGAAGACAGGUCUCCAGUGACUGGGACAUUUGGGAAGAGAGGUCUCCAGCGACCGGGGCAUCUGGCCCUGGGAAGCACGACCCAGACUCUGCUUCUCAACAUAGCACAGCCUUCCUCACUUGGACAUACAGGGUGCACCUGUCAGGAGGAGGUGCCAACCAGGUCUCCUGAGUGACCUGGCCUGGUGAUCUCGUGUGGAGUCAAAGUCCUUCUAUCCCCCACCCCACCCCACUUUCCAAGUAAGGAAAUCCAAGGUCAUAGAUCCUGUACUUCAUGCCUGCUAGUUUCUGAGCCACAAGCUUCUGGCUGUGUUGGGGCUGGGGUGCAUGCUUCACUAGCAGGAGCUGGUUCUACCUUGAAAGAGGAGCUGGCUUCUGAGCCCCAGGACUGAAAGCAGGGAGGGUGCAGUUCCCAGAGGCCUCCGAGUGCCCGCCCAGCCCAUGGGUGUGCAGCUGGUGGCUCCCUGAGAACAUUAGCCACCCUGCAAAUGCCCAGGAAGGCAGAGGCUAAAAAUAUAUGUAGUGCCCAGGUCCAGGAAUGCAGGCCCUGCCGUUCAUUGCUUGGUGUCCUGCCCAAAGUGGAGGGCACUUGGGAGAGGUCUGAGAAGGCAAGCAGUUGUGCCAGGCCCAAGUCGACCUGGAUAUUCACUGGCAUGGCUUGUUUUCCAGGCUGGGGCACGUGUAUCCAAUUCCUCCACUAUAAGCAGCUCUUUACUGUGCACAGGUCUGAACAGCCCACCCACCUGGUUAUCACCAGGCUUUAGACCAGCGAGCCCAAGGAUCUAGAGGAACGAGCUGGGGCUUCUGGGAAACCCUGGGCCAGUUGGACUACCUGCCUCAGUUUCUCCUUUUGCCUGCCCAUCUCAAUGGUGUACUUGAGGACCCCAGAAGAUCAUGCCUGUGAGGGUAACCGGGGGCUACUCUGGAGGAACAUGUAGGAACAGAGGGCAUGUGCAGAGGGCACUGGGAGGGCCAUAGGGGCAGCUGGAGAGGUUUGUGCUGCAGCCACAAGCCACUCAUUACAUGCUCGCUCUGCGUAUGUAGGAGCUUGCUGCGGUCCCCAGUGACAGGUGGGAAGACAGGGAGGCAGGACCCUGCUCUACGUUGCGUCAUCCGUCUAGCUGGGGUGGCACAGGCCAGCAUCCUGCAGCAGGUAAGGGUGCCCCCCCCCACAGAAAACCAUCAUGUGACUCUAAUGUCUCCCUGAGCAAGAAUGACUGGCACAGCCAUUGAUCUCACAGGUGUCAUUGCUCAGCAGGAGCCACACGAAACAGCUGAGUUAAUUCCCAGGUGGUUAACGAUGGGUGGUCCACAGAUAAAAUAAGUCAGUGGUCUGAAGUGUGGUCGAGUGCUGGUGAGACACAACUCAACCGUCCCCCUCCCCUCAUUCAGGAUCUGGCACAGGAGAGGGGACUGGGGAAGCCCUGCAGGCCUCAGGCCUUCCUCAGGCCCCCUCCCCUGAGGAAGACCCUCCAACCGCACAGGUGCAACAGCGGCAGCCGGGAGGGAGCUCAGGAGGGCACAGGUGCACCGGGUGGGGAGGCUCAGCACCAGCUUUGCUCUGAGGCCUUCCAGGCAGGGAAUGGGACAGUGAGGCCCAGGGAGGGUGUUCGGGGCACAGGGAACCACAGGGGUGGUUGGACAGUAAGGUGAAGAGGGAGGGCUGAGUCGAUCUUGCACAAUCAGGAAUUCUCAUGGAGGUCUGACCUGCUCUCUUUGAAUCCAGUUAAAAUCCAUUUCCUCCUGCCUGGGGCUCUGCAGGGCUGUUUUCCCAGGAGGCUGGAUGAGCACCAGUGGGUUGAAGUUCAGGCAUCCUCAGACCCUCUUCCCUCUUCCAAUCUGUCUCUCCCUCCUGCCUCCUGUCCCCUUUCCACCUCCCUUUCUCCCCUUCCCACCCCAACAGCCGAGUUUCCCCGCGUGAUGAACCCUGUAUGAUGGGAAGUUCCUUGGAAAAUAAAAGAGGAGCGUGUUAAACUCCAGCACCCAGCAGGCAGGCUCGGCCACACUUCCAGGUGCAGCUGGAGGGACAGCGGGGCGAAGCUGAUGAGAAGCUGGGCGAACCUGAAGCAGACCCAGACACCAGCUUUCGAAAUGUCAGAUUCUGAUAGGGCCAGCCCUGGCACUGCCACCUCAAAAUGCAGGAUAAAAUGCUGAGAGAUCCUGGUGGAACAGAAGACGGCCGUCAGCAGGAGGCCAGUAGCUUUUCUCUCCCGGUGACUGUGAGGGGCCCCUGGGCUUUAGGGGCUCAGGAAUGGCUGGAGUGGGACAGCAUUCGCCAGCCCUGUGUUCUACUUGGAUAGAAAGUAAACGAUGAAAGGCCUCUUCUAAGUCAAUCCACCACUGUCUUACUAAGUGUCCACCAGUCCGGUCCCACUGCUCUGCGCCAGACCUGGUACCCAAGCCGGCCAUGCAUUUCCUCCCCGAACCCCUCCACAGCCCUCCGGAUAUGGUGCUGCACCUUCGAAGUGGAGGAAACCAGGCGCUUAGCCUGGGCUAGGUGACAGCCAGCAUCAUACGGCCAGCACAUGACAUGACAGGGCUGGGAUUCUUGGCUGAGUCUGCCAGCUGCUAACCCUGGGUGCUCAAUGUCCGGGCCUCCUCCCUGGUGGUCCUCUGUGCUCAGCCUUCAGGUUGGGGCAGGGGGAGGAGGUAGUGAACGGCAGGAGGGGACAAAGCCCAGACACGAUUUCUGCACUUGGAGCUCAUGCUCUGCAGAUGUCCAGAUGGAGACCGACCUGAGGUUGGCGCUGGGCAUGAGGGAAGGAAGCAGCUUCUUCUUCAAGAGUCUCUCCUCUUACAUUGUGUCCUCUCUUGACUCCAUGCAAAGGAUGUCGGGUGCGUCCUAGAGAGUUGCCAUGGUUACUCAAGAGGCCUGCGGGCGCGUCCCAGCCAGGCUGGGCACUUGUCUUUACGCCUGCCUGAUGCUGCACGAGCGGCUGCUGGGCAGAGCCACAGCCCGGGAAUGAGGUCAUGUAAAUAAAGGAGCAGUGCAGAUGUCGGGAGAGGUGUGCCAGGCCUUCCAAAGCCUGUCCUCACCCAGCAGCGCCGCCGGGGACCCUCGUCCGUGCACCAAGACAUCCUCGCCGUCAGAUGGAAAGCGUUCUGCCAGGGCACGUGGUUAUUUUUACUCGCGUUCAGUUCCGACUUGUUAACACCGUAAUCCUUUCCUUAUGUCGCUGCCUUCACCACCCUGAGCGCACAGGCUGGAUUGGGGCUCUGUGUGGCAAGAAAUGAUGUGCAUCGGAAGCCGGCAGGCACCCACACAGGCCCGCCGAGGCAGACCCUGGCGGUGAAGCCCAUACCUGGGUAUGUGGCAGUGUGUGCAGCAGAAGGGACAGAGCAUGGGCCAGGUGAGAAGAAGGCGUGCCAGUGCAGGGUUGCCCCAGGCUUUUCCAACAGGUACCAGGAGCUGGAUGGGGAGGAUGGCGCCUGAGACAUUUCUGGUGGCUCAUCUCGUUGAUACAGGCAGUCGCGAACGGACACGAAUAUGUGUUCGUCUUUCCCAAGCACCAGAACAUGGAAACCCCAUUUGCCCUGGGAGCCUUGUUGCAUUUGGGGCAGAGCGUGUUUGCAAAUGGCCUUCCCCACACACCGUGGAACCUCGGAAUCUGGCCCUUCUGUGCUGGGUUGAACCGGAA